rnacentral:rRNA from 1 species
GACGAACGCUGGCGGCAGGCCUAACACAUGCAAGUCGAACGAGUGGCGGACGGGUGAGUAAUGUCUGGGAAACUGCCUGAUGGAGGGGGAUAACUACAGUAAACGGUAGCUCAUACCGCAUACCAUCUGAUGUGCCCAGAUGUGAUUGACUAGUGGGUGGGGUAACGGCUCACAUCGGCGACGAUCCCUAGCUGGUCUUAGAGGCUGACCAGCCACACUUGAACGGAGACACGGCCCAGACUCCUACGGGAGGCAGCAGUGGGGAAUAUUGCACAAUUGGCGCAAGCCUGAUGCAGCCAUGCCGCGUGUAUGAAUAAGGCCUUCGGGUUGUAAAGUACUUUCAGCGGGGAGGCGUUACCCGCAGAAGAAGCACCGGCUAACUCCGUGCCAGCAGCCGCGGUAAUAC